rnacentral:lncRNA from 12 species
AGGAGAACAGGCUCCCCUCUAAGCAGGGAGCCCAACUGGUCUGGGGGAGGGGGCUUGGAGCUGGAUCCCAGGAAACUGGCAUCAUGACCUGAGCCAAAGGCAGAUUUGUAACCAACUGAGCUACCCAGGUGCCCCUAAAUGGAAAAUUUUGAAGCCAGAGCACACAGUAAGGCUAAGGCUCAUGAAAAUUCUGUCAUUUUCCUCUUUAACAAGAAUGUAUCUUCAGUUGAGAUGUGAUAUACUAGGCAUUACUGGUCAAUUCUUAGCAUAACUUGACAACUACAGCUAGUCAAAAUAUGUAAACUCUUAGACUGACUAGUUAGCCAAACUUGUAGGUGGACUACCAGCAUCACUGAACAAAAAACAUCCCAUUUGCCUGCCUCUCUCAACAGAUGGGUGGUUUCAGUUCAAUGCACCCUAAGGAAAAAGGAAGUGGUAACCAGCUUCUCCCUCCAUCUGAUAUUCAGGAUGUAGAAGAUGUGAAUAAUAACGACUACUUUGAUCUUUUGCAAAUCUGUGUUCAGCACCAAAUGUUUGCCUUCAUCUUUUUCUCUCUCCAUCAAAGCAGCUUCAAGUUAAUGUUGGACUUUCAGUGAUACUUAAAAUCUGGCUGCAGAGCAGAUCAGAGCUGAAGCCUACAAAAGUAUACACACAGACUCCAGCUUCAGAGAAUUCAGCCAGAGCAACAAAAGAUAAGCAACCUUCGGAAACGGGAUUCACCUAAAAGCUUAGACACCUGAAAGCUUAGAUUGUCGAUAAGAAAUCCAAGUACAUUUUAAAACCACACCUCGUUAGAGGGGACAGCGGUAGUCGCCACAUUCUUUAUAAAUACUUACAGCAAUGUGUUUCUUAUUUUAAACCUGUAUAAGUCAGCACAUAUAUCAUAGACCUGCUAGUACUGAACUAUGAAUUCCAGGCAAAGGGAAAAACCCAUCGCCAAGUCUCUUUGGAUGCUGACAAGAGUCUUGUUGUGACAACUGAUCAUGUCAACUAAAGAAAACCUAACUUAAGGCAGGCUCUCAAUCUCCAUCCUGAUAAGGAGUGGAAUGCUGGCUGAGACCUGGAAGAGAAUUGGCUCCGUUCUGAAAUUCAAGUGCUUGGAAUCUUACCAUGGGAAGUAAUAAUUAUAAAUAAUCAAGUAGAUGCUUUGUUUUUCUGGCAGGGUAAGCAUGACCCUAAUUAGCAAGUUGGCUAAUAACAGGUCUCAUUUUAUAAAAUAUUAGGUAAGUCUGUACAGGAAAACACACACACACACACACACACACACACACACACCAACAAAAAAGUUUCUUGACUGGGUGGUGUUUGUUUUGUUUUGUUUUGUUUUGUUUUACUGGGUGGUUUAGGGGAAUUUUAAACCAAAGACCUGAAUAAACACCCAUCUCUUUUUAGGUUCCA